GACGAACGCUGGCGGCGUGCCUAAUACAUGCAAGUAGAACGCACAGUUUAUACCGUAGCUUGCUACACCAUAGACUGUGAGUUGCGAACGGGUGAGUAACGCGUAGGUAACCUGCCUGGUAGCGGGGGAUAACUAUUGGAAACGAUAGCUAAUACCGCAUAAUAUUGAUUAUUGCAUGAUAAUUGAUUGAAAGAUGCUAUUGCAUCACUACCAGAUGGACCUGCGUCGUAUUAGCUAGUAGGUGAGGUAACGGCUCACCUAGGCGACGAUACAUAGCCGACCUGAGAGGGUGAUCGGCCACACUGGGACUGAGACACGGCCCAGACUCCUACGGGAGGCAGCAGUAGGGAAUCUUCGGCAAUGGACGAAAGUCUGACCGAGCAACGCCGCGUGAGUGAAGAAGGUUUUCGGAUCGUAAAGCUCUGUUGUAAGAGAAGAACGGGUGUGAGAGUGGAAAGUUCACACUGUGACGGUAGCUUACCAGAAAGGGACGGCUAACUACGUG
rnacentral:rRNA from 1 species